GAAAUUAAUACAGAACAUCAAAACAUUAUUGAAAACUGUAGAUCGAUUGGAUAAAGUAUCAAUCCCAAUUUCUUGCCGCAAUCUCCCCACCGGAAAUUACGUCACUGAGAUACGGAGACCAAAUAUAAGUGAAUUAUGCUAGCCGCAUAUCUUUUUAGAGUUGUUCCUACUAUUAAAUUGAAUAUGUUCACAAGUCACUUUGUUUAGAAAGUUACAGAGUUUGAUUUUUGUUAUGUAAAAUAAACGUCAAACCGGAAACGGUUAUUGCUGGGCACUUCCGGUUAUCAGUUACCAACCCCUAUAUAAGGCCAUCAGUUUACAUCCCAAACCAGUCUUGAUAAAGGCCUAGAGAGGGCCGAAACGCGUAGACCUGCACUGGUAAGCCUUAUUUCAGUUGGAGGAUUUAUUUUUGAUUAUUCUACACAUUUGUUCUAUUUCUUUUUUUCACAGGUUUUUUCCUCACAGCAUCUUUUUCCAUCUUGGCCCAGUACCUGCUGGUAUCGAUAGUAUUAGGGGCAGUUAUCACUACAAUUGGACACAUCCAAUAACAUUGCCUCCGUUUGUCUGGCGCCUGGGCACACUCUUUACAUUUGGCUUAUCUGAGGUGAUAGCUAGGUAUCACCACCCUGGGCAUUUAAGCAUCUGACAGGGGGGCACGUGUGCGAGUGUACAAAUGGAGGAGCCUCCACUGACUGAUAUUGAAUCGUGGCCUUGAUCCUCCACAGAUAGCUGCCUUUCCGGAAAUCCUUUCACAUCUGUACUGAUAUCAUUAUAAGUUAUUUAUGAAUUUUUACACAUUGUGAUAAUCACUGUUAGCAGGAAGUAUUUAUUAUUAACUUAGAAUAUUCUUUAAUACACUCUUGCACAAUCUGACAUUAUUAUUGGAUGUUCAUUUUUAUCUCUUUAUUUUUUAUUAUAAUUUUUUCAACAAUUUUUACUUUGUAUAUUUCUUAUCAUGAGAGUUUACUUUACAAACCCACUGUAUCACAAUUGCAAUUACAAAAUGAUUUUAUUUUUUUAUAUUUUUACAUUUCAAGGGCGCCCCCUGUUUUUUGCGUAUUUAUUCAUUCUGGUUGAUGCUGUUGCUUUUCUUAAUGCAGUUUUGUUAUUGCAAGCUGAUUGUGUAUAUAAUGUACAGGUAGUACUCAAGUGAAUAAUAGUUCUGAGCGCUUAUACCGAUAUUAAUUCAGGAAUUGAGGCUUUAUAUGAGCCUUAUACCUUUAUUGAACAAUUAAAGUGGAUUUUUAUAUGAUCCAAUACAUUGUGAGUAAAGAUCAUCUAUCUUA